UCUCUCUCUCUACAUAAAUAAAGGUGGUUUUUUUGCUCUUCAUAAGGUCACAUGCUCUAACUCUCUCGUCCAUUGGAUUCGCUUUGAGAAGUAUGCAAAUACACAUCUCAAAGCAUUUUCACAUUGAGAUGUAUAUUUAUACAUUUAUCAAAGUGAAUUCAAUAGGUGGGAGAGUGAUGGUACAUAUCUUUAAGGGCAAAAUAAACUUUGCCCUACAUAGCUUUUCAGUUUGUCGUCUUUUAAUUGGCAUGCAUGAAUCGAAUAGCUAGUGAACAAUGACGAUGAUAUAGAUAUACCUAUAGCUAAUAAGUUUAGGAACAAUAUUUAUUUUCUAAUAUAAGUUGGACCCUUAAUUGUAGGACUAUUGGAACGAGAUGACCAGCAAUUUUCAGUAGUACUGCUUGUAAGAGCAUGCAUGCAGUACUUUCAACUGGGCGCUCUCUUCGAUUUCGUCAUGCAUGAGACUUUUCAUUGCUGGUUUGUUACUGCCCGGCCCACCUCAUGCAUGCACGUCUCCCUUGCGCAUUAUUACAGCAUGGGCCAUUCAUGGUUCAUAGAUCACCUCAAAAUCCAAAAAAAAAUUAAGAUUUUUUGUCAUAUCAAAUUUUACGAUAUAUAUAUAUCUAUACCUAUCUAUAAAGAGCCAAAAUUUCAGUUUGCCAAAUACUUUCUUCUGCCCAUAAUCCUGUCCGGUUAGGAUCGCCUCCUGUGCGUGUUCGGUUACGAUCGCCUCCUCCCUCCAAGGUUUCUAGAAGCCAAAAACAAAAUAAAAAACAUUCUAGGGUUCCUAAUGCAAAAUCUCAUAUUACUUACAAUCGUUACGAUGGAAGAGAGAAAAAAAUAAAAAAUUUCUAGAAUUCCCAAUGUAAAAUCUCCAAUUUAUUUUUCUUUUAUUUUUUAAAUCGGCUGAAAAUUAAUAAAUACAUAGUAAUUCAUAGAAAAAUCUAAAAAUUAUAAAACAAAUUUUGUUCAGCUCCACAUAUGUAGAUCCAUGCAGUAAACAAAAAUUAUCACAAAUUUUAGUACACUUUUUUUUGGAAAUGCUUGCCUAUGCUUUUUACUGUAAAAUUAAAAUUAUAGUUAUCUUGCUUCAAUUAUUAUAAAAAUUUAAUGGUAGCCUAUUUAAUGUGAUGCUUGAUUCAUAUUUCAUAGCAAUCCUAAUCUAAAUUAAAAAAUAAUGCUAGCAUCAAACUUCUCAUGUUUUAAUAUAAUACUGAGGCAUAUUAAGAGGUAAUAUUAGAGUGAGAUAAAAUUUAACUAUUUUCUAUUUUUAUUAUUAAAUAAAUAUGUUUUAAGCUACAUAUUAUUGUAAAUAUUAACUAUCUAAUACCAUAGAUGUUAUGGUUAUCAAUAAAAUAAAUUAUGGACUUUAAAUUUUAUAAAAAGGAUAAAUAUAAAUAGAUAUGUAGCAUUAUGUCAUCACUUUAUAGGGUUAUUUGAUGUUUUUCUUCCGUUGCAAUAUUACCAAAUUGAGGAAAAGCAAUUUUUUUAAAAAAAAAAAUUUGUGGCCCCCGGCCCCCACUCCUCCCAUGGCUCCGCUCCCCGUCCCCGUCCACCCGCCAAUCGCUCCCAUCUCCGUCCCGCCGCCGCCACUUCCUCCGUCAAGGGCGGAGGCGAGGCCGACUACGAGGUCUCCGACGACCACCGUGCCGCGUGGGAGCGUCACGAGCAAUCAGUGCAGGAGCUCCUCUAGCAGCGCCGCGCCUACGCCAUGGCCGUGUGGGCCUGCCUCUGCCGCCUCGACGAGCGUGAAAUGGAGCGCCACGACCGCCUCCGAGCCCUCAUGGUCCGGCUCGAGGCCGAUGGCUAGGUCGACCGUCUCCUCCGCGCGCAGGAGGACGACCACGCUGCAUGCACCGGCAAGGAGGAGCAGAUUCAGUACCCCUUCUUCACCAAGGGCACGCAGGAGCUUCUCAAGGCGCGUGUCGACAUUGCACAGUACUCGCUGCCCCGUGCCAAGGCCAGGAUUGAGAUGGCCAAGCACUGCCACGAGGAUUCCGAUGAAGACCUAUAGGCGGAGGCCGAACUCGUCGUGAAGCAAGCUGGGGAGUUUGUCCUAGAGUGUAGCGAGAUUGGAGAUGAUCGCCCUCUCAUCGGCUGUUCCUUCUCUUGUGGUGCAUCAAUGCUGGCCACAAGGUACUUCCUCUUAAUCAUACGGAAUUACAUAUGCUUUGUUCAUGUAUGUCUCGAACAAAUGCUGUGAUGAAAGGAUGUUGAGAACUGUUACCUAUUAAUUGUAUUAUUAUGUGGCGGUUGUGGCUGUGGCUUUUGUCACUAACUGCGCCGCUGGUUUUGCUUUGGAUUGCACUGAGCGACAAUAAAAGUGGACUGAUCUGACGUGCUGUUUAAUGGAUUUGUUCCCUCAUGUGAUGCUUUUAUGCUUUCUUUACGUAAUAUUUUUCCCCUUUUAAUUUCUAUACAUAUUUGUAUAUCAUUUUUUACUCUUUUCCCUCCACUGUAUAUGAAGAUUUCUGAUUUUUUUUUAUGGGACGUCAUUUUUUUCUAUUUCUUCUCAAGGUGAUUUCCGAUAUUAGUUUGGUAGUUUUGUUUGUUUUGGUGGGGUUAUAUUUAUUUGAUUCAAGGUUGGACUAAACUCACUUAAAUUUUACAAAAAGUGUACAAUUAUCAAAUAAUAAAUUCUAUACCCCGUUGCAACGCACGGGCAUGUUUUGCUAGUAUAGUAUUAAAUAAAGAUUAAAAAAUAACUAAUUGCUCAGUUUAACUGUAAUUUGUGAGAUGAAUCUUUUGAGUCUAGUUAAUUCAUGGUUGGACAAUAAUUACUAAAUAUAAACAAAAUUGCUACGGUAUUAAAAUUUUAAAAAAAGUUAGAUGUAAACAAGGCCUCACUCGUACGUCUCUUCAGUACUGGCCGGCUAAAAUCAUAUCUCCUCCUUUGUAUAUUCUUGCAUAGUAUAUAUUAUUUAAGGACCUAUUUAGUUCGCAUUCUAAAAAGUUUUUGAACUACUGUAGCACAUGUAUAACUAUAGCAAUUAGUAUUUACUUAUGGAGUAAUUAGACUCAAAAUAUUCUUCUCGCAAAAUGCAUACAAACAAUAAUAAUUAGUUAUUUUUUCUAUAUAUAUAAUGUUUCAUGUACAUGUUCAAACAUUUGAUAGGAUGGGGUAAACAUUUUUUAAGUGGGAACUAAACAAGGCCUAAGUAAUUAAGUUUGGGAGGACAACGUACAAAAAUAUGCAAUAAUGUGCAUACACAUACUUGCAUAGAUUGAGAGGACAACGUAGAGGAAAUGGACUCAUCAGGCCGAUCCGGCGGGUAAGAUAUUUUUCAUGGGGGUCAAUGGACGACGAACGAGGCAGAUGGGCGGAUGCAAUGCAAUGUGAGCCACAUAUAUGUAUACAGGUUCUGUUCGAUUAUCUGAUGACCAUCACAAGCUAGCUUCCAACAUACUAACGUACAGUGUAGCAUGGGGCACUCGACUCGAGUGUAGUAUGUUGUGUUGUGUGUGCCAGCUCAGCUCAGCUCUUCAAGGACAAGCUAGCUAGGAGGCUCUUACCACUCAUGCAUGAGCAGCUAGAGCUAAAGCCCAGCUGGUAUAUAUGUUAUGUAGCAGGCCUAAGCUAAGCUAGCUACUAGCUAUAUAUAAACCCAGGCGAGGCUCUACCUUAGGUACGUACAUACCACACGGUGUCAACAGCCCUAAACUUGAUCAUCCUUCUUCUUCUUCCUACUUAAUAUAUACUGUAUAGCUCUAGCUCUGCUUCCGAUCCUGUACGUACGUAGUACCCACUACACUAGUACACAAUAAGUAGCUAGGCAGCAAUGGCGGCCUCAUCAGUGACGACGACGAUGAUGAGCUUCCGGCCGGCUGCUGCUUCCCUGCUGGUCCUGAUGUUGGUGGUCGUCGGCAGCAGCGAGGUCGCGGCGUGCGGCAGCUGCCCGACACCACCAUCAUCUCCUCCUCCACCGCCGCCCAGCAGCGGCGGCACGCCGUGCCCUCCGCCGCCGUCCAGCUCCGGUAAGUGCCCCAAGAACGCGCUGAAGCUGGGCGUGUGCGCCAACGUGCUGGGCCUCGUCAAGGUCUCCAUCGGCAAGGUGCCCACCGACUCGUGCUGCCCGCUGCUGGACGGGCUCGCCGACCUGGAGGCCGCCGUCUGCCUCUGCACCGCGCUCAAGGCCAACGUGCUCGGCAUCAACCUCGACGUCCCCGUCAAGCUCACCUUGCUCCUUAACUACUGCGGCAAGAGCGUCCCCGAGGGCUUCGUCUGCGCCUAAUUAUAUAAACCAUUAUAUAUUGUCAUGCAUUCAUGUCACUGUGAUUCUAUCUUCUUCCGGAUGUACGUUUUUGUAACGCGCGCAUUAUUGUUCGUUAUAUUACGUUGUUGCCUGCCUUCUCUUUUUUUACUCUUCCUCACUUGCAUUACAUUACAUAUAUAUAAUUGCGUGACAAUACAAAUUGGGUGUAAAAGGAAGAAAUGCAUGGUCCGUCAACGUACAAUAAGAAUGUACUAGUUUAUAUUUUCUUGGUAAUUUAAAUGGAACUUGAAAGAUUUGUCGGACAUAUAUAUUAUUUGUUGACUGCAUAAGUUUAAUCUAGUGAUGGUUUUGCUAUAACUAUCUUAGACCGCUGCUAAUUAAACUUUAACAUAUAAUUCAGGUUACAUUUUUCAAAAAAAAAUCAAAAAAUAUUUCAGGUUACCAAAAAAAAGGUGCUGUUCUUUAUUUGCAUGCUACCACACAAGGACAGUUAAGAGGUUUAAUUUGAUCACUAGCUUAUAUAUAAUAUACACACACGGCAACGCUAUUCUACACCCUAGGUGUAGAAUAUUAUUCUACACCGUAAAUCAAAACUAAGCAGAAAGAAUAUUGAGAAGUACUGAAGAGCAUUCAGUAUUAUCUAGUACUACACCUAGAACCAUAAAAUACUGAACAAUAGUGAAACACGAAUACUGAACGAUACUGAAUUUUGCUCAGUAUAACAGUUCGGUGUAGAAUAGCAUGAUGUUGGGUACCAUAAUAAGGGAUACCCAAAUCAGAGCAAUAAAAAACGCAAAGGAACGUACUAACCACAAUCAUCAGGGCCUCGGACGUAAGUUCCGACUCGCCCGACCCCUCAGGGCCUCGGACGUAAGUUCUGACUCGCCCGACCCCUCAGGGCCUCGGACGUAAGCUCCGACUCGCUCGACCCCUCAGGGCCUCGGACGUAAGCUCCGACUCGCCCGACCCCUCAGGGCCUCGGACGUAAGUUCCGACUCGCCCGACCCCUCAGGGCCUCGGACGCCAGUUCCGACUCGCCCGACCCCCUAGGGUCUCGGAUGCAAGCUCCGUUUCGCCCGACCCCGUCUAGGCACGGGCGCCGGACCCCACUCCACCUGGGUAACAAGACUUCCCCCGACAUGACGGACGCGACGGCCCCCAUAACGCGGCAGGGCAAGGCGACGACUGUUUCAACCACCCCGGUCACUGUGGCCUUACCUCUGUCACUAUACACCCCUACCCCUGUUCACUGUAGCACACUACCGCACAGGAGAAAGGGAAUGGGUGAGGCAAAUCAGCACCACUGUUUGUGGUCAUUUCCCACUGUUGACAGGAUAUGCAGCAGUACCGGCGAUCCGACCCCCGCGACCCCUACAGGGUUCGGUAACCCUCUACAGGAGCAGCCAUGCUGUCAACCAUCCCUCAAGAACGAGAUGGACCAGCCUCAACAGGGUCGGGACUGUGUUUUCACCCUUCAAUAAAAGAAAUCUACUCAUGUAAAUACCUGGCCUUCCCUUGGGACUAUAAAAUGGGAGCCAGGGUUCACAACUAAAAAGGGAGGAGACAAGUUCAGAAAAACACACACGCACACAACACUCUUUCACAGAGCAACAGCCCGCACUCUGUCCACACCAAGCCGAGACCUGGGACUAAGCCCUCUCUCGCAACCAGCUUGUACCCCCUACUGCAAGCACCUUUGGGUGCAAGGUUAUACAGAAUCCACCGCCACACUGGACGUAGGGCAUCCUUGGCCCGAACCAGUAUAAACCCUCUGUGUCUCACUUGCAUCACCAUCCAAGCUUGGUCAGUCACGCAGACUUAUACUUGUUAGUGCUUAGACCGCGAGUCUAGAUGCCGACAGUUGGCGCGCCAGGUAGGGGCCUUCUGCGUGACGCUUGCCAGUCCCCACUGGGGAGGUUUGGAUGGCAGGCGGAUUUCACCCGCUCCGUCGCGGCACCAUCAUGAUGUUUGGGAGUUUAGAAUUCAUGUCCCUCGGUUCCGGCUACGACAUGGUCCUCCUCCCGCCACGUAACGACGUCGAGCCUAGCCCCGAGCCGAUCCCACCACGGUCAGUGCGUGGGAGACGUUCGGGACACCAUGCGGGGGGCUCACGGAGGGGGCGUCAGAGAUCCAGGAUCUCCGACCCUACCUCUGAGGCUAGGACCCGUCCGGUCCUCCCCCCGCAUAUUCCUCACCAGGUCGCCCGUUCCUCCGGCCCGACAGGCGCUAGAGGAAGGGCUCGCGGGGCUUCAAACCCCGGUCCCAAGACCAACAGAGGAUCAUCGCGGUCUCCCGUUCCACCCUGGUCAAAGGGGAAGGCACGGCCCGCGCCCGUCCCCCGCAAGGGGGACAAAGGGGCCUCAACGUCCCGUCCUCCUCCGCUUACGGGUGAAGGAGCACCAGCGGCACCUCCUAAGUUACCUUUUGGGCUAAGGAAUGCUGCCGCCACCUACGCCUCUUCCGUGAGCACUUCACUAAGUGCGUACGCGGAACUUCCAGGGCACCACUUGAGGUCUACUCUGGACCUCAUCUCUACGCCGCCCGUUUCGACAUACCCUGAGGAUCCCACCUCGGGCGACGACGAGUGGGCUGACGCUGAUUUCUCCGGAUGUGGCGACCCGGAGACUUUCAUGCGUUUCCUCGAAGCUAGCAACUACUGUUUCGGCUACUCCGACUCCGAUGACGGAAGCUACGACCCGUCGCGAGAGUGCUUCAACUUGGAAGUCGGAGGCACGUCGCAUAACGCCCAGGGAGACGCAGGGCCCUCUAGGCAAGAGAAUGCCACUCCACCUCCCAACCCUACUCCCGGAACCAAUCCCGGAGCCCGUGGGGUAGCAUCUGCCCCCGCUGGGGGACACCACCCUGACCUCGCACAGCUCGAUGAGCUGGAGGCCAGGCUCGAAGAAGAACGCACACGCCUCCGCCAACUCCGCGAGGCCCUGGUCCGAGAGCCGUCCGGCCGCGGAGACGGGGGUGAAGCCAGACGUCGCGCCCGUGAUGUCAACCGUCGCAUUGUCGAGGACCAAGGGGGAGACGCCCCAGUCUUCAGCACGGCCAGCCAGAACGUGAUGGCCGCUGCGCUCCUCCUCAGGGCGAUGCCCAAGCCAUCAACCCCUGAGGGAAGAAGAGUGCGCCAGGGGUUACGUGGCCUCCUGGAGCAGGCUGUGGUGCAGAACGCGGAAAGUUCUGCCUCACAAUCCCAUAGCACAAGACGUCGUGGAGACCGACCCCCUCCGAACAAGGCACCAACAGUACAGGGUCCGCCGCCCCCUGACCCCCAAAGGGGCGACAAGGCCCCGUCGGUACACGAGCGCGUCGGAGCAGGCGCGGACGUACGGGCCACCCUCGAGGCAAGGCGACGUGACAGGGACGAGGCCGAGUCCCGACGUUACCGACCGCGCCGAGGCGGGAGGUACGACCCCGAUCACGACCGAAGCACGUUACCAGAGCCUCCGGGUCCCCGCGUCUUUAGCGAGGCCAUACGCAGGGCCAAGUUCCCGGCGCGAUUCCGACAGCCCGCCAACCUCACCAAGUACUCAGGGGAAACUAACCCUGAGCUCUGGCUGGCGGACUACCGCCUGGCAUGCCAGCUAGGUGGCGCGGAUGACGACCUGCUCAUCAUCCGCAACCUUCCACUCCACCUGGCCGAUACGGCCAGGGCAUGGCUCGAGCACCUCCCUGAACGCAUGAUCCACGACUGGGCUGACCUAGUCAGGAUCUUUGUCGGGAACUUCCAGGGCACAUACGUGCGCCCUGGGAACUCUUGGGACCUCAGGAGCUGCCGGUAGAAGCCUGACGAGUCUCUUCGAGACUUCAUUAGGCGAUUCUCCAAACAAUGCACCGAGCUCCCCAACAUCACGGACUCCGACGUGAUCGGAGCCUUCAUUUCCGGUACCACCUGCAAGGAGUUGGUACACGAGCUCGGACGCAGGACCCCCACAAGCACGAGCCAGCUUCUCGACAUCGCCACCAACUUUGCCUCAGGCAAAGAGGCAGUUGGCGCCAUUUUCUCCGACAGCACAGCCAAGGGGAAACAAAAGGCCGAGGCUACCGAAGCCUCGGGAUCACGCGACCCCAAGAAGAAGAAGAAGGGCCGCAAGGGGCGGCAGGGUCAGUCGGACGACAACCUGGUCGCCGCGGCAGAUCGCAAGAACCCCAAGCGGGCUCCUGCUGGCCCCGGUCUCUUCGACGAAAUGUUGAAGAAGCCAUGCCCCUAUCACAGGGGACCAACCAAGCACACCCUCGAGGAGUGCACCGUCCUCCGUCGGUACUAUACCGACAUCAUCACCAAGGAGAGUGCCGAAGAACCUCCCAAGGACGACGACCCCGAGGGGGAAGUUUUCCCCAAGAUCAAGAACUGCCUUCUGAUCUUUGGGGACGAGCGGCUCGCCUCACUGCGAGUCAGAGGAAGCGCGAACUCCGAGAAGUCUGCGCAGUCAGCACGGCCACGCCCUCGUACCUCAAAUGGUCCGAGAGCACGAUCACGUUCGACAGACAGGAUCACCCGGAUCGGAUCCCCAAUCCCGGGAGCUAUCCUCUGAUCGUCGACCCCAUCAUCGCCGAGACCCGUCUCACUAAGGUGCUGAUGGACGGAGGCAGCGGCCUCAACAUCCUCUAUGCCGAGACUCUGGCCCUCAUGGGGAUCAGCAAGUCUCGGCUAAGGAACGAUACAGCGCCAUUCCAUGGAGUGGUGCCUGGACAUCGCGCCCACCCCCUCGGACAGAUCGAUCUGCCCGUCUGCUUCGGGACCCCCGGUAACUUUAGACGGGAGUUCCUCACUUUCGAUGUGGUCGGGUUCCCAGGAACCUACCACGCGAUCCUGGGGCGACCAUGCUACGCCAAGUUCAUAGCCGUCCCCAACUACACCUAUCUCAAACUCAAGAUGCCACGACCAAAGGGCAUCAUCACCGUCAGCACGACCAGUCAGCAUGCCUACCAAUGCGACGUCGAGUGCGUCGAGCAGGCUGAGGCUCUGGCAGAGUCUCUGGCCAUUCUUACCGGCCUCGGUGACUGCGACCAGGACGUCCCCGACCCCAAGCGUCAUGCCGGGAGCUUCGAGCCGGCAGAGGAGACCAAGCUGGUUUUCCUCAACCCCGGGACCUCUGAAGGCAAGGCGUUGAGGAUUAGCUCCAGCCUCGACCCCAAAUAGAAAGUGGUGCUCGUCGACUUUCUCCGCGCAAACGCCGAUAUAUUUGCGUGGAGUCCCUCGGACAUGCCUGGCAUACCGAGGGAGGUCGCCGAGCACUCCUUGGACAUCCGAGCCGGCUCCAAACCCGUAAAGCAACGCCUGCGCCGAUUCGACGAGGAGAAGCGCCGGGCCAUCGGGGAGGAGAUCCACAAGCUGCUGGCGGCCGGAUUCAUCAAGGAGGUAUUCCAUCCCGAGUGGUUAGCCAACCCCGUGCUAGUUAAAAAGAAAAAUGGGAAGUGGAGGAUGUGUGUAGACUACACUGGUUUAAAUAAAGCAUGUCCAAAGAAUCCUUUUCCUUUGCCUCGCAUUGAUCAGAUAGUUGACUCCACCGCGGGAUGUGAAAUUUUGUCUUUCCUUGAUGCUUACUCCGGCUACCACCAAAUCAAGAUGAAAGAGUCCGACCAGCUCGCGACUUCGUUCAUCACCCCUUUCGGAAUGUAUUGUUACGUAACCAUGCCGUUCGGCGUCAAAAACGCGGGAGCUACAUAUCAAAGAUGUAUGCUCCAGGUUUUUGGGAACCUUAUAGGCAAAACGGUAGAGGCUUACGUAGACGACAUCGUCGUCAAGUCCAGGAAAGCGAGCGGCCUGGUCGCCGACCUGGAAGAAACAUUCCGAUACCUUAGGGCGAAAGGGAUCAGACUCAACCCCGAAAAGUGCGUUUUUGGGGUCCCCCGAGGCAUGCUCCUUGGAUUUAUUGUGUCUGAGCGGGGGAUCGAGGCCAACCCAGAAAAGGUCUCAGCCAUCGCAAAUAUGGGCCCCAUUCGUAGCCUAAAGGGAGUACAGAGGGUAAUGAGAUGUCUAGCUUCCCUAAGCCGUUUCAUUUCUCGCCUCGGGGAAAAAGGGCUACCUCUGUAUAGGUUACUUAGGAAAUCCGAGCACUUUUCCUAGACCCCCGAGGCCCAGGAAGCCCUUGACAAGCUCAAGGCUCUGCUCACCAACCCUCCCAUCCUGGUGCCCCCCGCCGAGGGGGAGCCACUUCUUCUCUACGUCGCAGCCACUGAUCAAGUGGCCAGCGCAACAAUCGUGGUCGAGAGGAAGGAAGAAGGGCAUGCCCUGCCAGUCCAAAGGCCGGUGUACUUCAUCAGUGAAGUGCUCUCCGACACAAAGACCCGAUACCCCCAGAUUCAAAAACUGCUCUACGCAGUGGUGUUGGCCCGACGCAAGCUCCGCCAUUACUUCGAAUCUCACCCGAUCUCAGUGGUCUCAUCUUUCCCUCUGGGAGAAGUGAUUCAGAACUGAGAGGCCAACGGAAGGAUUGCUAAAUGGGCCAUAGAGCUCAUGGGCGAUGGAAUCACUUAUGAGCCUCGAAAGGCCAUAAAGUCCCAAGUACUGGCGGAUUUCGUGGCAGAAUGGAUCGGGACUCAGCUCCCACCACCUCAAAUCCAGCACGAGUGCUGGACUAUGUACUUCAACGGGUCUUUGAUGAAAACCGGGGCCGGUGCGGGCCUCGUCUUCAUCUCACCCCUCGAGGUAAGGAUGCGAUACGCGAUCCGACUCCAUUUCCCUGCUUCAAACAAUGCAGCAGAGUACGAGGCCCUGGUUAACGGUCUCCACAUCACGAUCGACCUUGGGAUCAAACGGCUCGACGCCCGAGGCGAUUCCAGACUCAUCAUCGAUCAAGUCAUGAAAGAGUCUAGCUGCCACGACCCCAAGAUGGACGCGUACUGCAAAGCGGUCCGACGCCUGGAAGAAAAGUUCGACGGCCUCGAACUUAACCACGUGUUAAGAAAGUAUAAUGAGGCCGCCGACACGCUCGCCAAAAUGGCAUCCGAGCGGGCCACGGUCCCCCCGGAUGUUUUCGUCAGCGACCUCUACAAACCCUCCAUCAACUGCAGGGACGACGUGGGGUCGGAUAAACCCCCAAGCGAACAAAGUUCCGACCCCAAAGAUACCGCCGCCCCAGAGCAGGGUGUCAUGGACAUCGAGCCAGAACCACCUGCGCCUGACGACUCGCCCGACUGGCGCUACCCUUUACUUCAACGCCUGGUCGACGACACUUUGCCCAUGGACCAGGCUGAAGCAAGGCGUGUGGCACGUCGUGCUAAGACCUUUGUCCUCCUCGAUGGGGAGAUGUACAAGCGAAGCCCCUCGGGCGUCCUCAUGCGGUGCAUCCCGCGUCAAGAGGGGGUCAAGAUCUUACAAGACAUUCACUCGGGGGCUUGUGGCCAUCACGCCGCGCCUCGGACGCUGGUAGGAAAUGCCUUCCGACAAGGCUUCUACUGGCCCACCGCCGUAGCCGACGCCACAGAGAUCGUCAGGACCUGUAAGGGAUGCCAGUUCUACGCUCGGCAAACACAUCUACCCGCUCAGGCCCUGCAAACGAUCCCCAUCACCUGGCCUUUCGCUGUCUGGGGCCUCGACCUGGUCGGGCCUCUGCAGAAAGCGCCUGGGGGCUUCACCCACUUGCUUGUCGCAAUCGACAAGUUCUCUAAGUGGAUCGAAGUCCGACCCAUUACAAGGAUCAAGGCCGAGCAAGCCGUGUUGUUCUUCACAGACAUCAUCCAUCGAUUUGGAGUACCGAACUCCAUAAUCACCGACAACGGCACACAGUUCACCGGGCGAAAGUUCUUGCAGUUCUGCGACAGACACCACAUACGUGUGGACUGGGCGGCGGUGGCUCACCCCAAGACCAACGGUCAGGUGGAGCGUGCCAACGGCAUGAUCCUCCAGGGUUUGAAGCCCAGGAUUUUCAACCGACUGAACAAGUUUGGAAAAAGGUGGCUCAAGGAGCUACCAGCCGUGCUCUGGAGCCUGAGAACCUCCCGAAGCCGAGCCACAGGCUUCACCCCGUUCUUCAUGAUCUACGGGUCGGAAGCCAUCCUCCCCACUGAUCUAGAGUACGGGUCCCCGAGAGUGCAAGCCUACGACGAAAAUAGCGGCAAGACGUUCCAAGAAGACGUGUUGGACCAGCUGGAUGAAGCCAGGGACGUAGCCCUCCUACACUCCGCCAAAUACCAGCAGGCCCUCCGCCGAUACCACGCACGACGAAUCCGAGGCCGAGCCUUUCAAGUCGGCGACUUGGUGCUGAGGCUCAGACAGAGCAACAAGGGUCGUCACAAGCUCACACCCCCCUGGGAAGGACCUUUCGUCAUCGCCGAGGUUCUCCGACCAGGCACCUACAAGCUCGCCAAUGAAGCAGGGGAGGUCUUCAAAAACGCAUGGAACAUAGAAUAGCUACGUCGCUUUUUCCCUUAGAGCCUUGUAAAAGUUUCUUUGUUCAUCCAUUGCCUCCAAGGAAUAAAUCAAAGUUUAAAUUAUCAGAGAGCCUCGGACCUGCCGAGCAGAGUCCGAACCUCCCUCGGGGGCUACAUGGGGGGAACCCCCUAUGUCGACUCCGAAUCUUUUUCUUUUUUCGCACAAGUUAAAAAAAAAACCCCGACCCAAGGUCUUCCUCCUCCUUCCUAAAAAGACUCAAGAAACCGAAAAUCCGUCCCCUAAAUCUUAAGGCAUGAGCCCGAGGAAGGAUCUGCGCUCACGAGCAAAGACCGCCUCAACUCACCUUAGAUUCGGGAACGAAUUCGGGCUUCCAAGAGUUACUAAGGAAAAAGGAAAAGAACUUAGGCUUGGGGACUCCGGCCUGCGCGAUAACUCUAAGUAGCUCACCCGACCCCGCGCUGCCGAGGUCGGAUCGUUAUAAAGAGAAAGGAAAUAAGAUACUUAGGGAAAAUGCUCAAAAAGAGCAGUUAUAUUUACAUUCAACAUUAACAUUAUAUAUAUAUAUGUUACAAGGCCCACCAGCCUCAACACCCACAAAAAGAAAAGAAACCUAAGGGUCCUGCUGCCCUGUCUACUCAGGUCCUAGAGCCCCAAGGGGCGGAAGCUCCACCUCGUCGUCGAAGAAGGUGGCCAAGGCAUCUCCGGGGACAGCCACGGCGUCUUCAAGCCUCUGCACCUCCUCCUGGGCCUCAGCCUCAUCAUCCGGGAGGACGUAGCCCUCACAAACUGCCGGCAAAUCAAUACCGGCAUAGUGAGAGCUCACCACCGCCAGGGCUUUCUUCACCCCGGCGUGGAGUGCCUCCUUCAUCCUCUCCCCGGCCCGGGAGUAAAGGGCUUCGACCCGACUCCGCAGCGACGACCCCGACGCUGAUACCCCGAGCCCCCCACACGCCGAGGUGACCACGACUUCAAGAGCCGAGCGGUCUGAAGCCUCGGCGGCAGAGGCCGCCUCGACCACCUUCCUCUCCAAAUCUGAUCGAAAAAACAGAACAAGAAACAGGAAGUCAGGAAAAGCUAACUCAAAAAGUAUAAAGGAGUCCAGGGUAAAGGGCGCAAGUCUUACCCUCGGCACGCUUCUCGUGCUCCGCCGAGCUCUGAUGCCAGCGGGCCACCUCGCUCAGAGCCCCGGACAGGUCGGUCUGAGCUUGGUUCAAGGCAAGGUCUUUCUCGGCGAGCAAAGCUUCAAGCCGAGCGACCUCACCCCUGUACCCCUCAGCCGCCGCCUUUUGCGCCUCGGUUUCCAAGGCGAGGACCCCAAUCUUCUCCUCCAGGGGGGCGACCUUGUCCCGGCCCUCCCGAGCCUCGGUGGCCAGUACCGAGCACUUCUGCCGAAGCUCGGCAGAAAUCUCGCACUCCUUCGCGAGCUCCCCCUCGGCCGCCUCUCUGGCAGCCCUCUUCUUCUCAAAGGACGCCCAAGCAUCCUUCUCCCGACGGAGAAAUACCGAUUUCUCCUGGGAGGUGGCCUUGAGCGCCUGCAAGAUCACAGGUCACAAGGGGUUAGUACCGCAAAGGUAAGCACAAAACUACUUUAUAACACGGAUAAAAAUCCUACCUGAGCCAAAUUAAACAUGUCGCGACCCACGAGCUGGGUAGCUCGGUUAAGGGCCUCGACCCCGGCGCGUCCACACGCAUCCAGACCCUGCCAGAGGUAAUUCUCUGACGGAUCAUCCAGGACAAAUCUGGCUCCCCCCUCGGCAUCGCCGAGGUUGGGCCAGAUUACGGGGCUCUUGCCCCAUCCGGUUUCCACCUCCCUCCCCGCCGCGGGGGCCUCGGGCGCCACGCUGGACACCACUAUGGCUCGCCCCUCCUCAGCGCACGCAGGACGGGCCGCGCCUCCGAGGUCAGCGUCCUCCGGAGCUUGGGGCUUCGGUGCCCCCGUGUCUUGUCCCGGGUGGCGCCCUGCCUCCUCGUAGCCUGGAGGCGGCGGAGACACGGGCCUAGCCGACCUGGGAGUUGACUGAGCCCCCCUCUUCACAGCUUUCAGGGGGGCCAGCGCCACCGAAGGCGCCUUUUGCUUACGGCUGGGGAAACAACACCAAGUUAGAAGAAAGAGAAAAACAAAAAAACCAGCAGAGGAACCAGAAAUCCUAUACAUACCUCGCUCGGGGAGCAGACUUCUUCUGGGAGCUCGGAGCUCCUAGGGGGCCUCCCGCGGCGCCAGGGGCCGCCGGUCCGACCCCUGCCUCGCCUGCCGACGGCGCAGGAGACACCACGGCGGUCUCAGCCUGCGACGCCUCCACCAGGGCACCAGUUCCCGCCUCGGACGCUGGGGCGGGCUCGGCCGGAGCCUCCGGCACUACCGGUUGAGGUAGCGCCUCGGAUCCGGCCUCCGAUGCCUUCCCCCCUUCUUGAGGACCCACCGGGGCUGAACCCUCACGAGGGGCGCUGUCCUCAUCAUCCACAAUAAUGUGGGGGGCGGCCUGUCCGCCCCCCGGCGCUUGGGCCACCUGGGGGGCCUCCGACCCCUCUCGGAUCUCCGACCCCCCUCGGGCCUCCGACCCCCCUCGGGUCUUCGACCCCUCCGGGGCCUCGAUUCCCCCGCCGGCCGGAGGGAUAACGUCGUCCUCCUCCAUUAGCUCGUCAAGCCAGUCGACGUCGCUGCCCCCGCCCUCUAUCUCCGAGACCGAAGUCUCGGGAGAGGGGGGCGGGGCGACCCCUGCCUUCUCAGCUUCACGAUGAUUUUUGGCGGAGAUCUCCCGCCGCUGCGCUUUCCGCGCCGCCUUGGCCUUCUUGUCCUCCUUGGCCUUCUUCUGCUCCUCGUUCCGGGCCCGAUUCUUGGCCCGGAUCUCCUUGUCCUCUGGGACAGGGGGCAGGGAGUCCUUGACGACCCCCAUCCUCUGCGAACGAUCAGGAGUCAAAGAAAAGGCAAGAAGGAAAUGAAAAGAAGGCGCAAAAAAUCCAUACUCACCAGGGAAAUGUAACCCUUUUCAGGGCGCAUCGGCACCACCCGAGAAUUCUUCAUCUCUGGGUGCGUCGUCUUCUCGACCCGGGCGGCGAUGUCCGAGGCCGAUAGCGGCUCGGCCAACAUCCUCCUCCCUGCCCAGGGGACCCCCCGGGUCAUCUCGAACAUGGGCACUCGCCGCUGUGCCAGCGGAACCAAACUCCUCUUGUGGAAGGCAGUCGCCACCGUGGCCGCGGUGACUUCGGCAUCUCGCAACUUCUGAAGCCCCGCGAGAAGUGGGGCGAGCCUCUUCUGCUCCUCGGUCGGAGCGCCCCACGCCCACUUCAUGGGAACCUCCGUCACCAUCUUCCCGGUGAACUUCGGGAGCAGGCCACCGUCGUUCCGGAGGUAGAACCACCCGCUCUGCCACCCCCGGUUCGAUGAAGGCAUCGAGCUCCAUAUGUACAGCCCGGCCCGCUGCUGACGAAGCUGCAGUGUGCAGCCGCCGGCCCGCAGGGGGAAUUUCUCCUUCCCCACGUAACGAGCCGACAUCUCCGCCUUGAAGAGGUGGAGCCAGAGAUUCCAAUUGACCGGAACCCCCAGGAACCCCUCGCAGACCGUGGUGAAGACGGCAGCCUGCAUAACCGAGUUCGGGUUCAGGUUAUGUAACUCCACCUCGUAGUGGUGGAGGAUGGCCCUGAUCAGGCGGCCGGUCGGAACUCCGAACCCUCGGUCUAGGAACGACAGGAAGCACACCACAUAGCCCGGCGGCGGGUUUGGCUCCCUGUCGUUCGCCGAGGGAACGAUCCACUCCGGAAACCCGACGUCCUUGAGAGGACGGAGAAUCCCGGCCUUCACGCGCGCCUCCAGCGCGGACUUGGUCACAUUGCUGGGUGGCCACGCCUCGACACCAGCCAUGGCUCCGCGAGGAAGAGGAGAGUCUGCGCGAUGAAGGUGGAAGAGACGGUAGUAGGAGAAGGGGCAGAAGGCAAAGGCUUGAUGGCGCAGGAGCGAGAGGAGAGAAAUCGAGCCCCCAGCAGCCGCUUUUAUAGGAGGGGCGAGCCACGACCACGCCCCUACGAAGAAGGCCAAGCGGGGAGAGAGCAACCGUCGCCCGCUCAGGUGAAAAACUCGAAGCGCCAACUCCCUCCGAUUCCCGCGCCCACCGCACGCGCGCAUUAAAUUCACAGGCGAAACGUCCCGUCCAAACCGGGGCGACGCGGCACAGCCGUUUCGAGUCCCCACGCGCCGCACCUCAAAAGGAGCACCCUAAAAAGUUAUGUCAGGGCGGUUCCUUCCAAGGGACGCGGCGCCCGACCCCCCGCUGACCAAGCGUCGCAUGGAGGUCUCAGUCGGGCGUCAGAUUCCGUCUCGCCCGACCCCGACGCGAAAGAAUGAGUCUAAAGAAAGCCUUCCAAGGCCCAAAAUCCCCAGGCCAUGGCCACCUACGUUCCAGAGGUUGCGAGACUGACCUACGACACAGGUUCAAACAGUCGCCUCAGGAUAACUGAGUGAGGGAUGACUGGAGAUGAGCACAAUAGAGGCCAAGGUCCGAACCCUACAGGGAGUCGGCGCAUCUUUGCAAGUCAUAUCCGAGACCCAUGCGGGUGUCACGAGAGUGGGAUCCCAUCGAGGGAGGCAUCGAGCCCUCGGGACCUAACGAACGGUUCCGACAUCCACCGUGACUGCCCUCGGGUACUUUUUGAGAUGUGCCCAUAAGGCCACUAGCCGACCCCUAUCGAACGGGACUCGGACAUUCACUCGGAUCUACCCGCCUGCAGCUCCCGGGAAGUGUCGUCACUCGCCCACCGAGGGUAGUACGGCAUGACCCACCCCUCCUCCGAGCGAAAGGAAGAAUGAGGGACGAAAUUACAAGACGAGAAAGAACCUGAUCGACCCUUGCGGGGAAAGGGCUCGGGGGCUUUCUCGCACCACAGGAACAGGCACUACGUGUAAAGAACACGCAACCUUUUCCUUGAAACACCCCAGACUAAAGAUGUCAAGGGGUGAAAGCCUUUGAAGGAACAACCUCAUUCCUCAAAAAGGCUCGGGGGCUACACCCGGCGGGUGCGCUUGCGCGCACCCCCCCGGAAAAAAGUGAAAGGCUCCGAGUCGACUACAGUUCGUGGGAAGAGAACCUCUAAAGAGGUGACCUCACCCCUUUAGAGGCUCGGGGGCUACUGUUGGGUACCAUAAUAAGGGAUACCCAAAUCAGAGCAAUAAAAAACGCAAAGGAACGUACUAACCACAAUCAUCAGGGCCUCGGACGCAAGAUCCGACUCGCCCGACCCCUCAGGGCCUCGGACGUAAGUUCCGACUCGCCCGACCCCUCAGGGCCUCGGACGUAAGUUCCGACUCGCCCGACCCCUCAGGGCCUCGGACGUAAGCUCCGACUCGCUCGACCCCUCAGGGCCUCGGACGUAAGCUCCGACUCGCCCGACCCCUCAGGGCCUCAGACGUAAGUUCCGACUCGCCCGACCCCUCAGGGCCUCGGACGCCAGUUCCGACUCGCCCGACCCCCCAGGGUCUCGGAUGCAAGCUCCGUUUCGCCCGACCCCGUCCAGGCACGGGCGCCGGACCCCACUCCACCUGGGUAACAAGACUUCCCCCGACAUGACGGACGCGACGGCCCCCAUAACGCGGCAGGGCAAGGCGACGACUCUUUCAACCACCCCGGUCACUGUGGCCUUACCUCUGUCACUAUACACCCCUACCCCUGUUCACUGUAGCACACUACCGCACAGGAGAAAGGGAAUGGGUGAGGCAAAUCAGCACCACUGUUUGUGGUCAUUUCCCACUGUUGACAGGAUAUGCAGCAGUACGGCGAUCCGACCCCCGCGACCCCUACAGGGUUCGGUAACCCUCUACAGGAGCAGCCAUGCUGUCAACCAUCCCUCAAGGACGAGAUGGACCAGCCUCAACAGGGUUGGGACUGUGUUUUCACCCUUCAAUAAAAGAAAUCUACUCAUGUAAAUACCUGGCCUUCCCUUGGGACUAUAAAAGGGGAGCCAGGGUUCACAACUAAAAAGGGAGGAGACAAGUUCAGAAAAACACACACGCACACAACACUCUUUCACAGAGCAACAGCCCGCACUCUGUCCACACCAAGCCGAGACCUGGGACUUAGCCCUCUCUCGCAACCAGCUUGUACCCCCUACUGCAAGCACCUUUGGGUGCAAGGUUAUACAGAAUCCACCGCCACACUGGACGUAGGGCAUCCUUGGCCCGAACCAGUAUAAACUCUCUGUGUCUCACUUGCAUCACCAUCCAAGCUUGGUCAGUCACGCAGACUUAUACUUGUUAGUGCUUAGACCGCGAGUCUAGACGCCGACACAUGACGAGCACAUAGACCGUGUACUCAAGGUUUAAUUUAGUACCGGACGCAGGGACCUGCUUGUCCAGUCACUAUCUGGGAUCAUCGGAAUGUUCUCCGGUCAGUGUGACGUGGCGCGAGUGUGCUAGCAGUGAUGGAUCAAACACUGGGCCGAGUCCUGUCACUAGUCAUCGAACGCGUCUGGUGGAGGAAAUCGCGUUUUGGAAACUCUUUGAGUAGUGAUCAAACGUUGGGUAUCUGUGUCAAGUCAUCUUCUGAUGUGAGUCUGGUGAGAACUUAGUCAUUGGGAUCUAACGUGCGAUGUUGAAAAUAUAGUGACACGUGGAGAGAAUUUGAGCACCAGACGUUGGGGCCUGCAUCUGGUCGACCUGACCAUAGAAUCUGGUCGCCCUGUUUUCUAUGAGAACAAAGAGCCAAUGACUUUAGGAGGCUUAUAAAUAAUGUUUGGCGGGCGUGGGCUCAUUCUAUUGGCACCUUUAACAUAUUUGAUAUCCUUGUGAGCCUAAGCAAAGUUAUUCUACUCAUCUCCUUCGUAGACUCUUGAUUUUUGUAAGAUAUGAGUGAUUUCAUAUGCAUUUGCUUGAGUGAUUGCAUCUAGUGACACUUGGGGAUCUUUGUGGCUACGAUGUUCUUGUUACUCUCGGUGGUUGUCGCCACCUAGACGGCUUGGAGUAGCGGAGGAGAAUUGACAUGAGUUGGUGAUUGUUCGUGGUCAUCUCUCAGUGAUUAUGAGGGGUUCUUGUGCCUUUUCCGACGGAGCGUCAAAGACAACUCUAGUGAAUUAUGUAUGGCAUUGAGCUACCUUACUUGUGGGUAGAUUCUUGCAAUGUCCUACAUGAUGACGACGUUUGUGCUACACCUCUUUGUCGCUGAACAACUAGGUAUUGGUAGACACAACGCGGACUAGCGUGCCGACAAGCACGUGAACCUCAGGAGAAAAAUCAUGUCUUAAUUAUGAUUUAUUGGCAUUCUUUCGGUGAUUAAUAUUAUCUUGCUACUUAAUUAUGUUCUUAGUUUGCUUUAAUUAUAUAUUUGAUAUAGUUAUAAUUGAUGAUGAUUAUAUGCAUAUGUUCGUAUAGCGCUUAAUCGAGUGCUCGAGUGGGUUAAGUGGUGCGUAUUAUGUAUGUCGAGGGUAUCGGUAAGGGGUACCCUCAGCGAUGCGCAUUAUGAGAUUGCCCGUACGAAGGUCGAGACCCUUAAUUCGACGCUCUAAUCUUACGUAUGCGCCGCCAUCGACGGUCGCAGCCUCGAAGACGGAAAUAGCGUCGAGCGAAUCGGUUCAGGACUCGAGCGACGACUGCCGUCGAUGACGGAAGCGGGCUCGAGCGAACCGAGAGGCGUCGGGCGCAAGGACACUGUCCGCCGCCCGACGCGCGCACGCGGGCCGGAGCAUUAAAUGCACCUGACGCUUCCCCACCUAACACACAGGUCACGGAAGGCGUGAUAGGGAACAAGCUUCUGUCCCAUCGUUCUUUUUGCAGCCUUCCCACCGAACGACCCAGGGCGUGUCAGGACGCAGGAAACAAGGAUGGAACGUCUAAUCGGGACCCCCUCGAGACACCCAAGGUCAGCGCUCCAAAUACCAGCAUAUUACACGGCGUCCGACCCUCGACCAAACAGGGUCCCUUCCUAGGGACAAGUUGGGCGUCGACUGACUACACCACAGCUACCCCGUCGGGUCCGCCACCAUACCGUACAAGCAUGCGACCUCAGAACCAGCACAAGGCGGCAGGCAGGGCAGAACACAGGAGCACGCGUAAUCAUCACCGAGCUAUCAAGAUGGGACGGCUCGAGGCCAUGCCGUACGGAAGCCUCGAGUAGGUCAGCGCUCCAUGCGGCUAUCGAUCCCUACUCUAACAUCUACGCAUGUACCCUGUGUCUCUCCUUGGAGCUAUAAAAGGAGAGACUCAGGAAUAGAAGAAGGGGACAUCACAACACAAGAACACACACACACAUAGUAGAGCUACACACUUCAUACCACGCUUGUAUUCGCCCCUGUACAAGCACUUAGGUGCAAGAUAAUACAAACUCUCUCCCCCCGCUGGACGUAGGGCCUUCUCUUGCCCGAACCAGGAUAAAUCUUCGUGUCUUCUUGCAUCACCAUCCGGAAAGGGGAGCACGCAUACAAAUUUACUCGUUGGUGUGACCCCCCGGGGGAAAAACACCGACAAUGUAAGUGUGGUGUUUAGAUAUUAUUUACCUGCGGAUGCACUCUAUAUGUCGGGCCACGUGGUAGAUCACGGGUGUGAUAGGCCUGUUGAGUCCUCUGUAGUCCAUUUCCCAUAUGUAAAACAAGUAGAACCUGGUCGCAAAGGAAGAGAGGACUCUUUUUCCAAUCCUCCCAAGUUGAUGUUCCCUAUGCUAUACUCAGAGUUGGUUAUGUUGUAAGUGAAAUUAUAUAAUCUAGAGUGUGCAUAAGACUUAGUAUUUAGGAAUAACUUAGAAAUCUUUCACUCUAACCGAAUCUAGAGCUUAGCCUUACUACAUUAGUUCAGUCUCUACUUUGUAUCUCUACAGUACUAUUAUUAUGUUGCAUUUAUCAUAUUUAUCUUUUACUUGACUCACCCCUGCUAAAGCAUAGGAGUGGUUGGUUUAUCAUGGGUUUGCACAUUUAUAAUUUAUGUCAUAAACAUGGUCUCACGACCCUUCCUUUGGGAUAAAAAUAAAUAAAGGAUACUCUCCCGAGUGAAAAUGCUACAGUGGUGAUUUAUCUGUGCGCUUGCGGAUAUUUAUUGAUAUAUAUUAUUUAGAGUUUUGAAGUGUAGUUCUUAUUACCAAUAUUUCUAAUAUCAUACUAGAGAUGAUAACUUAGUAUAUAGUGAUGUUCAGAAAUGUCAACACACAGGCAUAAUUUCCUAGGUGAGGCUAAAUAAAGCUGAAAAUACUAGUUUCUCCUAGCGCACUCUCUCUCUCUCUCUCUCUCUCUCUCUCUUUGCUAUCUUCACUAAAAAAGUGUUUUGUCAAACAUUUUUUUUAAACUGCUUUAGCUUCGCUGUUGAAGGUAUUUUAUGAAUGGUAGGGUGAGCAGCGAUAUCGCAUGGCAUAUAUCGAGGUGGGAGGGAUGGAACCAUAUAUAGUCACAUAAAAGAGGCUCGCCAUCUUUAACCUUUGAUCCGUAUUCAUCGACCUCGAUCUAGGUUUACGGGUUUAUUUUCGAUAUAAAAUGUAAAAAUCUUUCGCAAGUAGUAUAUUAUGUUCCGCGACAUCCAUUGACCUAAAAACUUUGUGACUAUGGAUAUGGAACGACGACGAGGCUGAGAUCUAGAGAGGGGAGCGAGAGGGUAGUCCGGCCAGCCGGGAUACUAGUUACGUUGCCGGAAGGGGGAGAAGGGAUGGAUGUUCAUAGCAUCGCAUGUGUCUAGUCGUAGCUUAUUUCCUGCUGCGCUGCACGUCUCUGCGCAUGCACUAUCGAUAUCACUGACGACCGUACGUGCAUAGAUCGCAAAUUCAUACUGUAUAUGGAAUAACGGGCGAUCGAUCGAGUCACCGGCGAAUCUUUCCGCACAUACAUGAAGCAUUAAAUAUAGACAAAAAUAAAAACUAAUUGCACAGUUUAUCUAUAAAUCACGAGAUAUAUCUUUUCAUCCUAGUUAGUCCAUAAUUGGACAAUAUUUUAACACAAACAAACAAAAAUGCUACCGUAUCGAAAUCCAAAACCUUUUCGCAUCUAAACAAAUCCUCAUGCUGUAUAUAUAUGGAACAACGGGCGAUCGAUCGAGUCACCGGCGGCGUGGCGUACGUACUAUACGUAUGGAUCGAUCGUGAUGGGGUGGAGAGACGUGAAGUGGAGGGGCCCUCCAUGCAUGUGUCAUGCACGCCGGGCGGCCGGCCGCGCAAGCCAACAAAACCCUAGGGUUCACGGGCUGCGCAUACCUACAAAAUAAACGUCCGCGUCGCCUCGCCUUUCCAGAUGAAUGAAUGAUCAUCAUCUGAUGACCAGCAGCCAGAGCCAGCUAGCCUGGCGAUCCAUAUCGUCCAUGGAAUUUGCUAGCACUAGUAGCUGGUUUCUCCGAUCCUGACCAAACUACGACGACGAUCCAUGACACUGACACGUACCCAGCCAUGCAUGCAUCCCAGUCGUCGGCAAACCAUGGGCGUGCCACUACGGCCAUAUAUAUAGAUGGCAUGUUAUUCUACCACCGUACGACCUACCGUUCCUUCUUCAUCUCGCAAAUGCAGCAAAAAGAAGAAAAAAAAAGAGUUAGUAAACGACGAUCAAGAAAUAAAUUGGCCUUCCCGUUCCGGGCCUGUUCUCGUUUAUCUCCAAUCCAAGUGAAUUGGAUUUUGAAUCAAAUCCCUUUCAAUCGAUACCCUACUUACAAUCCAUAUGGAUGGGUAUGUUGGAGGGGAUUGAAAGAGAUCACGAGGGAUUUUAACUUGCUAUACAAAUUUAAAGCACCACCUCAAUCCCCUCUAAUCCUCUUGGAAUCAUUUGCAACCGAACAAGACCUUAAAAAGAGGAUGUGAACUUUUAACUACAAGACUGAUCGACCAUAUUCCGCCCAUCUCAUUUGUCUAACAUACCAGGCCGACCCGCAGUCGAUCGUCAACAUGGGUAUCAUGCAUGCAUGCAGGAUCGAUGCAGUGCAGCCAACUUUGAUGUAUAUUAGAAACAAGAACGCGUACCCUCCUGUACCUGCUGCAAGUCUCUAAUAACUUUUAGCUACGUCGAUUCACAUUCACUGUAUGUAGGCAAGUUACCAAAUCGUUAAUUUAUUAUAGUAUUCAACCACCCCCACAAAAAAAUCAAUCUGUAUAUACUCCCUCCGGCCCGAGUAGUAUGGUUAUUAUAUAUGCAAGGCUGUUCCGCACCGAUGCGAAGAAAGAUCUUUGACACUUGCUCCCUCCGGCCCUAAAACAUAGUGUAUUGUAACUUUUAAAAUUAUAUAAUAAUUGUCUAAAAUUUUAACUUUGAUAUGUUAUUUAAGUGUUUCUUAAGUUGUCUUAGAACGCGAGGAUAGAGCGAGUAAUUUAGUGGAAAUAUAUAUAUAUAUAUAUAUAUAACUAAAUAAUUUAAAGCACCACCUCAAUCCCUAUAUAUAAAUUUCAUAGAGGAUUUAAUGAAACUGAUUUUAGAUUACUUUGUACUCCCUCAAUUCCAAAACAAUUAAUAUUCUCGUUUCCUAAAUGAGUCAAAAACAUUAUUUUUGAUUAAAUAUAUAUAAGAAAAUAUCAAUAUUUAUAGUAUAUAAUUAUUAUCAUUAGAUAUUGCUAAAGCUAUUUCAUAUAAACUUUAACAAAAUUAUAACCAAAAUGGGUAUUACAGUGAUACUUAUUUUAAGACUGAGGGAGUAGAGUACAUUAUUUUUAUGGGCUCAGAAGAUCUGACAAAAAAACUAACUAAACACGUUUUAGAGCUGAGUAGUAGUAUUUUGCUAGAUGACAGCAUGCAUUCUAAAUUAUCUAUCUGCUACAAAGUAGGGGCCACGUACGGCCCCUGCGUGCCAUCUCAGCGGCACACCGCACAUCGAGGUUCAUGCAUGCACGUGUCGACAUACACGUUGGCUCGGUCUCGAUCUCGGUGGCAUGCAUGGCAAAUGACACACUAUUAUAUUCAUUCGCGCGCGCGACAUGCACCCAUCUGCAUUGCAUGCAAGGCCAAGCAGCAGCUUGCGUCGAUCUGUAUGCGAGAGUGUAUGCGUGCUGAUAGAGAUAUGAUGCAUCGAUCGAUCGCGAUAUCGAUCUACUGUUGUAUUGCAUGCGCAGUUGUUGUUACGUGUUGCAUCGAUCGCGACCAGAUGUAUUCUUAUAUUCAUUUAAUUUAUUACAUACCCUGCAUGCAUGCAUCAUGUGAUUUGUGAACAUAACACAUGCACAUGGAUUGGUAGUGUAUUUUUUACUGUAGAUGAAAUAAACAAGGCCUAGUAUUGCAUUUGUUAAGAUUGAUGAAAUCAUAUAGCUAGCUAGGGACCUAGGGUUAUGAGUUAAUUAUUUGUGCAGGGACAAAACAUCUAGUGUCUGGUCGUGCUGCAUAGUGCCUACGUACGACGAGGACGAAUCUUGCUCGAUCAUUCAUUCAUUCAUCGCAGGUAAUUCUCAGGUAUACACAUCAGGCCUACUACUAACAUUCAAUUCAUUCGAUCAUCCAUGCAUGAGAUUACACAGAUGAUUAGCACACUUUAAUAAUGGUAUUUAUAUUCAUAGAUGGAGACCAUCGUCGUGUCGGGUCCUGCCAGCUAGGCCUCUUUGACACGAUCGAUCAUACAUCCAUCGAUGAUCGAUCCAACACAAACACAGGAAGACGCGCGCGAUGAACAUAUAUAUGCUGCAUGCAUGCAUGCAUGCGCAUGACGAUGAUAGCAGAUUCGUGAAGAAACACACCCAAAACAAAGCAAAGCAAAACAAAAUGAAAGCGAUGAACGAAGAGCGAUGUGUACUAGUAGCUUAGCUUGUACUUGUUGCUGAGACCUGAGAAAUCAUAUAAUUAUUAUUUAGCCCGGCCGGCCUGGUGCAGGCGGGCGUGUGCAUAUAUAUCCAUGGAUCGGGAAACGACGACGAUGGAGAGACGACGAGAGGCAGGCAUGCAUGCAUGCAUGCAUGGCGACGAUGAGAUGAGAUAGAUCAGGAGGAGCACUGGAAUCCCGAGGGGACGCGCCUGCCGCAGUAGUUGACGAGGAGGCUGAGGUUGAUGGGGAGGUUGAGGUUGAUGCCCAGGAUGUUGGCUCGCAGCGCGGUGCAGAGACACACCGCCGCCUCAAGGUCCGCCAGCCCCUGGAUCAGCGUGCAGCACGGCGUCCUCGGCGGUGUCCCCAGGUUCACGUUGAUCAGCCCGUUCAGCACGUUGGCGCACACGCCCAACUUCAGCGUGUCCACAGGGCAACGACCGCGCGUCCCGCCGCCGCCGCCGCCGCCGCCGCCGCCUCCUCCGCCGCUCCCUCCUCCACCACUGCCGCCCCCACCGCUCCCUCCGCCGCCUCCGCUCCCACCACCACCAGAUCCUCCGCCUCCCCCGCCUCCACCUCCCCCGCCACCACCGCCUGGUGGACUAGGGCAGGAGCCGCCGCACCUGCAGCCACAUGCGUCGGCGAAACCGAACAAGAGGAGGUUCAGGGCCAGCAGCGAGGCCACCAAGGCCACUUUCUUCGCCAUCUCGCUACCACCACGUACUCCUACGUACGUACGCAGCACACAGCAGUCGUAGCUUGGUUUCUAGCGUACCUGCAGAUCAGACUGCAGGUCGCUAGUGUGUGUG
rnacentral:lncRNA from 1 species